GUAGUCAUAUGCUUGUCUCAAAGAUUAAGCCAUGCAUGUCUAAGUAUAAGCAAUUAUACCGCGAAACUGCGAAUGGCUCAUUAUAUAAGUUAUCGUUUAUUUGAUAGUACCUUACUACUUGGAUAACCGUGGUAAUUCUAGAGCUAAUACAUGCUAAAAAUCCCGACUUCGGAAGGGAUGUAUUUAUUAGAUUAAAAGCCAAUGCCCUCUGGGCUCUCUGGUGAUUCAUGAUAACUUCUCGAAUCGCAUGGCCUUGCGCCGGCGAUGGUUCAUUCAAAUUUCUUCCCUAUCAACUUUCGAUGUUUGGGUAUUGGCCAAACAUGGUUGCAACGGGUAGCGGAGGGUUAGGGCUCGACCCCGGAGAAGGAGCCUGAGAAACGGCUACUACAUCCAAGGAAGGCAGCAGGCGCGCAAAUUACCCAAUCCCGACACGGGGAGGUAGUGACAAUAAAUACUGAUACAGGGCUCUUUUGGGUCUUGUAAUUGGAAUGAGUACAAUUUAAAUCCCUUAACGAGGAACAAUUGGGGGGCAAGUCUGGUGCCAGCAGCC
rnacentral:rRNA from 1 species